rnacentral:rRNA from 1 species
AAUGAACGUUGGCGGCGUGGAUUAGGCAUGCAAGUCGAGCGCUCAUCAGCAAUGGUGGGAGCGGCGAACGGCGUAGUAAUGGAUCGGAACGUACCCUCUGGACGGGGGAUAGCUGCGGGAAACUGCAGGUAAUACCCGAUGAACUCUGCGGAGCAAAGGUGAGAUUCCGCCGGAGGAGCGGCUGAUCUGAUAUUAGCUGGCUGGUGGGGUAAUGGCCUACCAGGGCGAUGAUGUCUAGGGGGGUGUGAGAGCAUGGCCCCCACGACCGGAACUGAGACACUGUCCGGACACCUACGGGUGGCAG